AAAAAAGCGGUCGACAGUAUGCGGGAGGAUUACAGAGGAGGCGCUCGAGGGAGACCAAGCGCGCGAGGAGGUCGAGUGGAUCCAGCGCCACGCGGUUCAGCCGAUGCGCGCGAGGGGAGCCGAUCCGGCCGAUGAGGGGGUCCAGCGGACUCCCGGGAUGCGGAUGAACAAGGGGCCGACCGAUCCAGCCGGCGCGGUCGAUCCGCCUGCGAAGUGGAAAGGGGGGACGUGGUCACGUGGGUGAUGAUGGCCGGCCGGUGCCUCAUCUGCUAGAAAUUGCUCGCAGUUAUACUUCAGUUUCUAUGCACGCAUUCAUGGCGAUUGAUGUGCCAAUCCUUCUGGUGCCGAGUGGUGAUGUUCAUACUAGCUGUGCUCGAUUGAUUUUAUUUUGGAGCUUGGCACUGGAAUUGUUUUUGCUUAGCAGUUGCGCGCGCCGCCACGACGUUGGUCGCCAGCAUCAAGCUGCCAGAUGCAGGAGGCAUCCCUGGAGAGUGGAGGUGCAUGUGGAAGCAUUGAUACAGUGGGAGAUAAGACCUCAACUAGGAUCAUAUUGGUUUUGGAAAAGGGUUCCUGCUGGUCCAAGAUCAAUGUUACGAAGUGGUACAAAAUCAAAACAAAAAUCAUUACUUCCAUUAAGAAUAGGCAAGUUGAAGAAGAGACAAACUAUUUACUUCAGAUAAUCCCCUUUUCAGCCUCCAAAUCAAUGAGUUUGUGUUCUUAAAAUGAUUUUGUCUCCUUGCAUACAAGGUUCCGUUACCAAAUGCAGUGACAAAAUUGUCCGCAAUGGAGUUGAGGAAGAGGUGGGAGGAGUGCAAGUAGUGGUGGGUUAAGACAGUAACGACUGAUGUUUCACCAGCUCAAGGCCAUCUCCCGUCGACGUCCUCCAUAACUAGGAUCCACUCAUUGCCACCCACGCAUCUACCUCUGUUGCGAACAAUGAUAUGCAUAAUCACCUUUUUUGGGUCUGUUCAGUUUUCUGCAUGGGUCUUUAACACUUAUGUUACUUACCUCAUGUUGAUGAGAAGGUGGAAGUUUGCGAGAUCCUUGAUAUUAUGACUGAAUCCUUGUCGGAUAAAUAUUUGGGUCUUUCAUCAAUGAUCGGUGUUGAUCGGGUGGAUUGCUUUAAGCAUCUUAUUGAAAGAAUACAGAAGCUAGUGAAUGGGUGGAAAGAAAGAACGUUAUCUUAUGGUGGUAAGGAGGCUCUAAUCAAAGCGGUGGCUCAAGCCAUCCCGACAUAUGCGAUGGGUGUAUUCAAAUUUCCAAAAAAAAUAUGUAAGGGAAUCACUGAUACUAUAUCGCAUUUUUGGUGGGGUGACGGUGAAGACCAACGAAAAUUACAUUGGUUUGCAUGGUGGAAGAUGUGCGUCCCUAAGGUAUGGGGUGGUAUGGGUUUCCGUGAUAUCCAAAGUUUCAAUCUUGCAAUGCUUGCUAAACAAUGCUAGCGUCUCAUUGAUAAUUAUGAUUCGCUAUGUGCAAAAGUUUUAAGAUCAAAGUACUA